ACCCCCUCCUCACGUUUUCUUUUGGGGGACAAAACAAAAACUCACCACUCACAGUCAAUAAGCACACAACACACUAUAUACAUAUUCAUUCACAUCUCACAGAUUUCUAUACAUACCUCAUGAAAAAAUAAAUUUUUUUCUUCUCCACAAAACGAUGACACACUGCACAUGCACAAAAAAAAUCUCAUGAAUACACACACACCAAUUGAGGUUCACUAAGACACAGACAAAAAAAAAUACUCCACACACAGAGAGAAAAAUCAGGCGAGGGAAAAUUAGUGAAUGUGAGUGAGGAGAGAAGGGAGAAUCGACAGAGAGAAAUAGUUAAGAAAGGUUCAUUCUGAUUACCAGAGUUCUCUGAAGUCCGUCGAAGCGGAGAGCAGGAACCCAGCUCCACAUCUUUGCCUAAUAAUCAGUAACUAGGCAAAUACCACCGGAAUAUCUAAAAAUACGAACAAACACCAUCGGAAAACCAUUCUAAACGACCCAGCUUUGUCCACGAUCGAACCCAUAUAGGAAAUUAUGAAAGGGUUAUUUUGGUCCUCGGGAUCUUGUUGUGAUUUUGUUGGAAAACAGUGAAGCCAUACUGAGGUUGGGAUUUUUCUUGUUGGGGUUUCGAAUCGAGGUUCUUCGGCACUGAUUUUGUCUCUUCAUUCAAGUAAUAUUGAGUUUGAAAGCUUCAAAAUGAGGUGGUUGGUGGCAUUGCAGCAGAGGCGCAACAGGGCUAUCCAACUUCAACCAAUGGGAUGAGUCAUAGGUUUUUAUCUCUCUUAUAUAAGCUAAAGUUACAAGAGCAAAACCUAGUUUUUACAAAGCUCAAAAAAUCUUAUCUCUCAAAAGCAAAA